GGAAAUGUAGCUCAGUUGGUAGAGCGGUAGACUGAAAAUCUACGCGUCGAAGGUUCAAUCCCUUCUUUUUCCACUA
rnacentral:tRNA from 1 species